rfam:Firmicutes bacterium CAG:110 genomic scaffold, scf83
GGAGGCAUAGCUCAGCUGGUUAGAGCGCAUGCUUCACACGCAUGAGGUCACAGGUUCGAGUCCUGUUGUCUCCA